CUCGGCUUUGCCUGGACAGCUCCUGCCUCCCGCAGGGCCCACCUGUGUCCCCCAGCGCCGCUCCACCCAGGCCCAGCUUGUACCCCCCCUCCACCAGUACCUGAAGAAGUGGGGCUCUCACCCUACCUGCCUCUGCCAUUGGAAUGGCCUGGUUUGCACAGAUGGGAAGCCCAUUUGAGGGGUGGGUAUCUGGGUGGGCACGUGGGGCGAGGACCUGCCUGAGGGACCCUGCCCUGGAACUGACAGUGCAAGCUCGGCGUCCUGCCCAUCUGGGCAGAAGGCUGGUUUCUCCCAUCAACGAAGCCCUCCCAGGACCUUCCUGCAAGCCCUCGUCCCACACGCAGCUCUGCCGUCCCUUGGUGUCCCUCCCGGCCUCAGGUCCUCCAUGCUGGGUACCUCCGGGCACCUCGUUUGGCUGAGCCAGGGGUUCAGCCUGGCAGGGCGCCCUGGCAGCAGUCCUUGGCCUGUGGAUGCUGUCCUGGCCUGUGGAUGGUGUCCCGGCCUCCACGUACCCCUCUCAGCCCCUCCUCUUGGACUCCAGCCAUGGGCCUGCGCGCGAGCCGGAACUGCUCCAGGACAGAGAACGCCGUGUGUGGCUGCAGCCCAGGCCACUUCUGCAUUGUCCAGGACGGGGACCACUGCGCCGCGUGCCGCGCUUACGCCACCUCCAGCCCGGGCCAGAGUGUGCAGAAGGGAGGCACCGAGAGUCAGGACACCCUGUGUCAGAACUGCCCCCCGGGGACCUUCUCUCCCAAUGGGACCCUGGAGGAAUGUCAGCACCAGACCAAGUGCAGCUGGCUGGUGACGAAGGCCGGACCUGGGACCAGCAGCUCCCACUGGGUAUGGUGGUUUCUCUCAGGGAGCCUCGUCAUCGUCAUUGUUUGCUCCACACUUGGCCUAAUCAUAUGUGUGAAAAGAAGAAAGCCAAGGGGUGAUGUAGUCAAGGUGAUCGUCUCCGUCCAGCGGAAAAGACAGGAGGCAGAAGGUGAGGCCACAGUCAUCGAGGCCCUGCAGGCCCCUCCGGACGUCACCACGGUGGCCGUGGAGGAGACAAUACCCGCAUUCACGGGGAGGAGCCCAAACCACUGACCCACAGACUCUGCACCCCGAUGCCAGAGAUACCUGGAGCGACGGCUGCUGAAAGAGGCUGUCCACCUGGCGGAACCAGCGGAGCCCGGAGGCUUGGGGGCUCCGCCCUGGGCUGGCUUCCGUGUCCUCCAGUGGAGGGAGAGGUGGGGCCCCUGCUGGGGUAGAGCUGGGGACGCCACGUGCCAUUCCCAUGGGCCAGUGAGGGCCUGGGGCCUCUGUUCUGCUGUGGCCUGAGCUCCCCAGAGUCCUGAGGAGGAGCGCCAGUUGCCCCUCGCUCACAGACCACACACCCAGCCCUCCUGGGCCAGCCCAGAGGGCCCUUCAGACCCCAGCUGUCUGCGCAUCUGACUCUUGUGGCCUCGGCAGGACAGGCCCCGGGCACUGCCUCACGGCCAAGGCUGGACUGGGUUGGCCGCAGUGUGGUGUUAAGUGGAUACCACAUCUGAAGUGAUUUUCUGAAUUGGAUUUGAAUUCGGCUCCUGUUUUCUAUUUGUCAUGAAACAGUGUAUUUGGGGAGAUGCUGUGGGAGGAUGUAAAUAUCUUGUUUCUCCUCAAA
rnacentral:sRNA from 1 species